rnacentral:tRNA from 1 species
CCUGGUGCUGAGGUUCUUACAGUCCCGCUUUGGGAGCGGAGGGUCGCAGGUUCGAAUCCUGUCACCCCGACCA